rnacentral:tRNA from 1 species
CGGGAUGUAGUGCAGAUUGGCUGCACACCUGGAUUGGGGGCAGGGGCGACAGGUUCGAGUCCUCCCAUCCCGAC